rnacentral:rRNA from 1 species
CUACGGGGUGCUGCAGUGGGGAAUAUUGCACAAUGGGCGCAAGCCUGAUGCAGCCAUGCCGCGUGUAUGAAGAAGGCCUUCGGGUUGUAAAGUACUUUCAGCGGGGAGGAAUGGAGUAAAGUUAAUACCUUUGCUCAUUGACGUUACCCGCAGAAGAAGCACCGGCUAACUCCGUGCCAGCAGCCGCGGUAAUACGGAGGGUGCAAGCGUUAAUCGGAAUUACUGGGCGUAAAGCGCAGGCAGGCGGUUUGUUAAGUCAGAUGUGAAAUCCCCGGGCUCAACCUGGGAACUGCAUCUGAUACUGGCAAGCUUGAGUCUCGUAGAGGGGGGUAGAAUUCCAGGUGUAGCGGUGAAAUGCGUAGAGAUCUGGAGGAAUACCGGUGGCGAAGGCGGCCCCCUGGACGAAGACUGACGCUCAGGUGCGAAAGCGUGGGGAGCAAACAGGAUUAGAUACCCCGGUAGUC